rnacentral:rRNA from 1 species
UACGGGGGGGGCAAGCGUUGUUCGGAAUUACUGGGCGUAAAGGGCGCGUAGGCGGCCCGCUUAGUCGGACGUGAAAUCCCUCGGCUCAACCGAGGAACUGCGUCCGAUACUGGCGGGCUCGAAUCCGGGAGAGGGAUGUGGAAUUCCAGGUGUAGCGGUGAAAUGCGUAGAUAUCUGGAGGAAUACCGGUGGCGAAGGCGGCAUCCUGGACCGGCAUUGACGCUGAGGAGCGAAAGCCAGGGGAGCAAACGGG